rnacentral:lncRNA from 1 species
CCCACUCUAGGUUCCCACGCCGCCCCUAAUCCCGCUUGAAGCAGGCCUGAGAAACAUCGCCCAUUCUCUCUCCAUACCAAGCCCCAAAAGUUUUCACCGCCCCAACACUUCAACACUAUUUUGUUUUAUUUUUCUUAUUAAUAUACCAUCGCAUCCCCUGUGACUUGCACGUAUACGCCCAGAUGGCCUGAAGUAACUGAAGAAUCACAGAAGAAAGUCAAGGAAACUUAUUUUAUGCUAUUUGCAGUCUUUAAUAAUUGAGUAAGGCAGAGUCCUGUGAAGAAAAUUUGGAGCAUGUUUGUUUCUCUCUGCCUGUUUCCUCUAGAAUUUGGAAACUAUCUGUGAGUAUUCUUAACUUAUGGCAACAUGAUUCUUUGCACCAGUACAACAAGAAGCUAUUUUCUUUUGCAACAGGACACAAUUGGAGGAACUGGUUCUUUUACCAAAGUUUUUACUAGAAGGAUAUGCUUCCCUUUAAGGAAUCAAGCUUGGCUUACAGAAUUGAUAAAAUCUCCUUGGGAAAACUGUACUGAUAGCAUGUUUACACAGUCUCCAUAUAGGAUUCCUAACCUGUGGUGAAUAAAGAAUGUCAUUUUCUAACAGACCCAGGAACCCCAUAUUAUUAGGACCUCAAGAAGAGAGAAAUUCACCCAGCUCAUAGGUAUUUGAGAGUACAAACCCAUGCCUGGGCUCAACUUUAAUAACUCCUAUCUGAGAUGCCUUGAGGAACAGAGUUCCAUCAUAUCCAAUUUUAAAAACCUAUGUAAAAAUAAUUGUUCUUGCUGCACUUUAUGGAAAUAAUCAGGCUAACUAUAAGACUAAAGUUUAUUUUAUGCUCACUAGAAGAAUGGGGUGGAGCCACCAAGAAUUUGUGCCUUAUGCAGGGAAGGAGGCUGGCAUCUUCAACUCAUGUGUAGUGGCCUAAUAUUCAAUUUGUGAGGUGGAAACCUGCAUCUAAGACCUCUCAUUUUGUUGACAGCUUUUUUUUUUUUUUUUUUUGAUUAACAAAUUCUGCCCUCCUUACCUUUUAAUGUGUCUACAUGCCUAAUUUUUCCUGGUUGUGAAACAAGAUCCCAGAUUUAGCUGAACUAAGGAGCAAAAAUCUUGCAUCCAAAAUACCAUAAUUAAAUAGGAAACAAACUGGAGCACGCUUUAAAGACAGAUGCAGAUUUGAAUAUUUUCUUAAACCUUUGAGAAUAAAGAUACAUCUAUUUAAGAUCUUCUCAGGGACAAACAUUAGCUUUUUUCAAUAUUUAAAUGUAAACAUCUCUACCCAUACAUGAAGGAAUCCCAACAACUUAAUAUUUAGCCAUUAUGGUGAUUGGAAGUUCUCUUAUAUUUUGCUGGUAAUUUAACUCUCUCACUACCACAGGGUUCUUUUGUUUGCUUGGCUGUCUACUUUCCUGACUGAAAGGACAAACCCUUAUUUCUGACCUUUCUGCUGUUAACCUUUUUGGCUCAGUCAGGAUUGCCUUCAAUUUCCUUUGAAGGUAAAAGUACACUUUAGCAAGUAGAAGGCAUAAGUAAGCAAUAGACUUGUUCAAUGAAUCACUGAAUGAAUGAAAGAAUCCAUGACUACUUUAUUAUCAUCUUACCCUUGCAGUAAUCCUUAGAAAUAGACAACACUACCUGUACUUUAGCAGAUGAGGAAUCUGUAGCCCUGAUAUAUAUAUAUAUUAUCCCUGGGACCAUCACCUUACUAGUUAUCAUUAUCAUCAUCACCAUUCCUAGGACGUACACAGUGCUACUUUGUGCUAGCCACUCUUCGAAGUGUUUUCCAUAUAUGAACUCAUAUCCUUCUCAUAACUGCCUUAUAAAUUAGGAGCUAUUUUUAGUCACACUGUAAACAAACAAACAAAAAAUCCUAAGUGCCCCCCAACCCCCUUGGAACCAACUAAACUAACAAGCUCUGAGCCAAGGAAAGCCAGGAAAACUGAAUUCCUGGCCAUGUGGAGAAGGGAGAUUGGACACGUCUCAUUAAAACCUCUCCCUUUUGGAGUUAAGGGACAACUAACCAGCAUUAACAUUAAAGUAGACAUCGUAAUCCUGACAAAACAGACUCCUUGGCAGUAAGAAACCAAAUUCCAACCUGACUCUGGUAUAGCAUCACAUGAUACAUAGCUGACCCUGAAGAAAAUCAAAAUAGUUUACCCCAAAAUACAUUUCUUUGACAUAUUUCGAAAUGGCACUGAAAAGCCAUCUUUGUGAGAGAAAUUUUACAUCUGUAGAGAGUCUCCAUUAAUGCAGAUAGGCCUUUCCCAGAUCUGGGAGAGAUUAACUAAGAAUCUCACACUUUUUAAGAUCUCCAAAAACACAUUUACCAUCUAUUCUGGCCUCAUCUAUAUAACAAGAACCUUGGCUUUGCCACCCCUCUUAUGUUAAUUCAAGCACUUCUUUCUACUGACUUCAAGUCUUUAGCUUAACUCUCAACCAAUUGCCAAUCAAAAAAUCUUUGAAUCCACCUAUAACCUGUAAGCCCCUCUGCUUUGAGAUAUCCCACCUUUCAGAGCUGAACCAACAUAUACCUUGCAUGUAUUGGUUUAUGUCUUUGCCAGUAACUUCUGUCUCCCUAAAAUGUAGAAAAGUAAACUAAACUAACUUCUCAGGACCUUUUUCAAACAGAUCCUUGGACCAUGGUCACUCACAUUGGCUUAAAAUAAAGCUCUUAAAAUAUGUUACAAAGUUUAGCUUUUUCAUCAACAACAUUUAUAAGUAAAGUAACUGAGGAACAGAAAGGUUUAGUAACUUGCUCAAUGUCAAAAUAUAGUGGCAAACCAGAAGUUUGAAAUCAGGCAACUUGUCUCUAUUAUCUGUCCUCUAAACCACUAUGUGAACUUGCCUAACUAGUAAGAGGCAGAAAUGGGGAAGGAAAACUAGUCUGUCUGAUUCCAGAAACUGCCAUUUUCCACUACACAAAGGUGACUCCAAAGGCACCGUGCUUGUACAAUUUGGGAAAUCAUUCUCUUUUGAUUGAUUGUAGGUAGAGUCUACAUGGAAAAUUGGUAACAUAAUUGUUAGGUGACCUUUAGGAAAAAAUACGCAUUUUUCAGGUAUUUGAAGGUGAUUUUUCAUGAGAAAUUAUGGGAUUUCUACAAAAGUGACUGGGAAUCAGAUCUCACAUUUGGUACCUUCUAAAAAAUAAUAUUCUUUUUAUUCUAAUUAGCACAGCCAUCAAAGAUUUCUGAAGCUUAUUUGGCCUUGUCUAGAACAUGCUGCCAUGUAUGACUGCCCCAAGUGACAGGAGAAAGCCAAAAACAAGACCCAGCAAUGGAAGUUUUAGCAGGAUUCCAGCUGUCAGAAUUAACCAUGAGCCAACUCCUAUAGAAUAACCAUCCAAUUGUAUCCUCCAUGCUUAGCCUGUUUGUCCAAGUAAAUUGCAGACUUAUCCAGAACAGAGACUGUGUAUUAUUUGUAUCCUUAUCCCCUUCUACAAUAGAGGUUAAAUGAGGUUUUGAAACCAUGGAAACUUACUGGUAACUGUAUCACAAUGCUCAUAU